rnacentral:rRNA from 1 species
GAUGAACGCUAGCGGCAGGCUUAACACAUGCAAGUCGAGGGGUAUAGUUCUUCGGAGCUAGAGACCGGCGCACGGGUGCGUAACGCGUAUGCAAUCUACCUUUUGCAGAGGGAUAGCCCAGAGAAAUUUGGAUUAAUACCUCAUAGUAUGUGAGAAUGGCAUCAUUUUCACAUUAAAGUCACAACGGCAAAAGAUGAGCAUGCGUCCCAUUAGCUUGUUGGUAAGGUAACGGCUUACCAAGGCAACGAUGGGUAGGGGUCCUGAGAGGGAGAUCCCCACAACUGGUACUGAGACCCUGACCAGACUCCUACGGGAGGCAGCAGUGAGGAAUAUUGGACAAUGGGCGCAAGCCUGAUCCAGCCAUGCCGCGUGCAGGAUGACGGUCCUAUGGAUUGUAAACUGCUUUUGUACAGGAAGAAACACUGGUUCGUGAACCAGCUUGACGGUACUGUAAGAAUAAGGAUCGGCUAACUCCGUGCCAGCCGCCGCCGUAAAAC